AUACCAUCCAGGGAUCAACUGCAGCCUGCAAACUGCUCUAACGUGACCUACAACAUUGUCCUGCAGAACCAGUGAGCCCUGGACUUGCUGAGAGGCAGAUGUAAACCAGGACAUCUUGUCGGGGACCGGACUGCCGGACUAAGCAAAGCUAGUGCCCUGCCCUGAGCAGAUUCCUGAGAAGGGCUUGACCUUUUCAAAGAAAGAACAUGUCCCCAAGACUGCUGCCUCUUUGUCUAAGGAGGAUAUCUUGCAAUUUAAUGAUUCACCUUAUGUCCUUGGGCACUUCCCAGUACUCCCCCUGCCCUAAGCUUCGAUUCCUGCUUCAGAGUUUAAAUGCUGUACAUUCCUCUCAAUAAACAGACCUUGACAAGGACACUGCUUGGACUCGCUCCUCUUUCUUGCCCAUUCUCCCGCAGGAAUUCUUAUACAGAGAGGAGUGAAAGACCCCCAGAGAGGACCAUUCCCUCAGGAGGAGACCCAAGCGCCCAAUGACCGAGCUGAGGCCACUCGGAUGCAAUCAGCAAGAGGGUUUAUUGGAAAACACAGUAUUGGUUGAAAGAAAUAAAGUGGAGAAGGGUGGAAGAAAGAACCCAUAAAGAAGCAAAGACAAGCUACAGGGCUCCAACUCCAUUUGGGUGACAAGGACAACCUCCUUAUUCUACCUUAAAUAUCCAGCCUAAGAAGAAUGUAUCCCUCCGCACAGUCUGGCUCCUGGGUCAUACUGCCCUGAGGUGCCAGAGAUAAACAGAUAGGUUUCUAUGACUUCUUUCCCAUCAUCCAGAAGCCAUAGCUAGUAAAAAGCAGCCAGCCAAUCAAUAAUUAAACAAACAAACAAAUAAACAAACAAAC
rnacentral:lncRNA from 1 species